ensembl:lincRNA
GUUUUAUAAGGGGAAGCCACUUUCACUUGGUUCUCUGUCUUUCUUGUCUGCCACCAUGUAAGACAUGACUUUCACCUGUGGCCAUGAUUAUGAGGCCUCUCCAGCCACAUGGAACUGUGAUUCCUUUUAACCUCUUUUUCUUUAUAAAUUACUCAGUCUCAGGUAUGUCUAUCAGCACCAUGAAAACAGACUAAUACAGAGAGAAGCAGUGUGUGAUUGGUUGCCUCCUUUAUUCCCUCUCUUAGGCUUCUUCUUCUUCCUUCCAUCCACUGGGCUGUGGAAUAAAGAAGAGGAAGAAAAGGAAGGGCAGAUGCAUCUUUUUUGGCUGGCACUGAUGUCAUCUGGCACUAGUUUUCUCUGGCCGCAGCAGAUGUUUUAGCCUCUUAUGGGCACUUCUGUCCUCCUAAUUCUUCAGCUGGUCCCUAUGAGUGCAGCCCUUCCACUCAGCAAAUCUAAAUACGGCAGGAAAAGCAGACCCCAGAUGGAGGACAUUGGCAUUCCGGCUUACGAGUCAGACUCUGAGGAGCUUGAUAAGAGUGAGUCAGCCUCCCUGAGUCUGAUCAACUUGGGAAUGCUGACGACCCUGUGAUAAUUUUAGUAGAAAGACAUAUUGCCUGCCCCUGGAGACAUCCAACCCCAUCCUCACCAUCCACAAGUAUUCUUAUCAUUAGAGAAAAAGAAACAAAUCACUUCAAGCAAGAUUGUCUUUUGUAGUGCAAAUUCUGUAAGAAAUUUAUCAGGUAAGAUUUUGCAUCGGAUAUUCUGGCCUAAGUAGUUGAUGACACCUGGAAACACAGGCAGAGGGCUGGUGGUUUUAAUAGUAUCCUUUGAUAAGAACUGAGGGCUGCCAUUAGAGCCUGAAGAAAAAUACUUCUAAAUAAGGCCAAGAUAAUGUGUUCCAAGUGGUACCAUGUUUUCAGCGAUCUGGACUAAUGCAUAAAUGAAACUUUGAGUGCCUAGGGAAUUGCCUUCCAAAAAUCCUCCAGAUGGUCACUUCCCCAGGAAGAGAGCCUAGAGGCAACCCAAGAUUACAUUCUCUAUGAAGAGUCUGGAAUCUAUAAGGAGAAUUUAGUCUAGAGGAAGGGCCUGAGAUCCUUUUCCUGAGUUUGUUGGUUGAGGGAGCAUCCUACACUUUGGGAUUUGGGAAAGCGGAAACUUACUCAAUUUCAUAUCCUUGUUUGGAAAUACAGAAUCCUAACCAAGACCCUGGCCUCAAAGGAGAACUGCUCAGCUUCUACAGAGAGUGACUAAACAGAUAAACUGAUGGAAAAAUAAAAAUUUUUCUCAAACAGUUGUAUUUAUUCUCUUGUAGCAAAUAAGCAAACGGCUGACUCAGCCUCUGAAGAUCACCACUAUGAUGAGUUUUACCUGUGAGGCUUCUAAAGCAGAAGUUGCCAUGAGCAUCUGGUCACUGUGCCUAUGGAGACACAGCCAGGAAACAUAUUAAAGGAUAUUAAUUUAGAUGAUUAAAUGUAUUUAGUUGAAUAAAUAUUAUAAUUUUAUAUUGAAAUUACUUUUAUAUGAUUGUGUUUUAUGCACUGAUUUCAUCAAGCAAUCUCACUACUAUGAACAAGCCGCAUUUUAUUAUAAUGGCAGUGGACAUUAUAAGUUAAUAUAAAAUUCUUCCAAUUCUCUUACAGCCUUUGAUGAUGCCCUUUGUUCAGCAGAAAUGUGGUUGCUCCUGAGGGAGUUAACAACAUGAUAACUAAUUUCUUAGAAAGGUGAAAGCAAUUUAAAAUUAUUUUAUUAUAUAGUUCGGUAUGUUUAUUAUAACUAUGAUAAAAUGGUGACAAAAAUAAAAUGUCAAAUCACCC